AAGGUGGGGCUGAUGACUGGGGUGAAGUCGUAACAAGGUAUCCGUACCGGAAGGUGCGGAUGGAUCACCUCCUAACAGGGAGACAAAACAAUGAUUUUGAUGUCUGAGUAUUUCAUUCUUAGGCCGAAAUCCUGUCACCUUAGGUCGAUCGGUACCUCAACAUUUUUCCAAAGAUUGGUGAGCAAUCAUCAAGAGAUUGGAAGGGAUGUUCAGUUCCUAAACUUUGUCUAGGUCACACCCCGCAAGGGAAGAGUCCCCUGGGCCAUUAGCUCAGGUGGUUAGAGCGCACCCCUGAUAAGGGUGAGGUCCCUGGUUCAAGUCCAGGAUGGCCCAUUCGGUGUUGGGGGUUUAGCUCAGUUGGUAGAGCGCCUGCUUUGCAAGCAGGAUGUCAGGAGUUCGAGUCUCCUAACCUCCACUGACAGAACUCAAUCUCCAUUGUCCGGUAACUCGGAGGAUGAACUCAAAGGUGUGUGAUUUAGAUGUGUCCACUAGAUAGGACCCUAGCUUCCUGUCAUUCCGAACAAGUGAUUAUUGCUUGAUUGGCUGAUAUGAUGCUGGGCUCAAAUUAAUCAAAAGAUUAAUUUGAUCUCUAGUAGAACCUUGACAACUGCAUAAGUAAGUCUGGAAAAACGAAGCAUCUUACAGAUGCAUUGUUUUAAGUCUGAAUUCUCGAAAGAGAGUUUGGAUCUAGAAUGAUGAAAAUUCUUUUAAGCAAGAGCCGAGACUCUUAGAUGUUCUUUUUAUCGUGUCGAGCGAUAAAGAGUUUGAUUUUGUUUUUAUGAGCAGCGAAAGUUGCUGAUGAAACCAGAAGAAUCUGCUUUCAACCGCAGUAAGCGUUUAAGAGGUUAAUUGGUCAAGCUACAAAGGGCUC
rnacentral:misc_RNA from 1 species